rnacentral:rRNA from 1 species
UACAGAGGGGGCAAGCGUUGUUCGGAAUUACUGGGCGUAAAGGGCGCGUAGGCGGCCUGCUAAGUCGAACGUGAAAUCCCCGGGCUCAACCCGGGAACUGCGUCCGAUACUGGCAGGCUUGAAUCCGGGAGAGGGAUGCGGAAUUCCAGGUGUAGCGGUGAAAUGCGUAGAUAUCGGAAGGAACACCGGUGGCGAAAGCGGCGCGCUGGACCUCUUCUGACGCUGAGGCGCGAAAGCCAGGGGAGCAAACGGG